rnacentral:rRNA from 1 species
GAAUCCCGUCUUUGACACGGACUGCCUGUACAUUAUGGUGUGCUCUCGAAGAGUCGAGUUGUUUGGGAAUGCAGCUCAAAAUGGGUGGUAAAUGCCAUCUAAAGCUAAAUAUUGGCGAGAGACCGAUAGCGAACAAGUACCGUGAGGGAAAGAUGAAAAGAACUUUGGAAAGAGAGUUAAACAGUACGUGAAAUUGCUGAAAGGGAAACGCUUGAAGUCAGUCGCGUUGGCUAGAAAUCAACCUUGCUUUUGCUUUGUGUACUUUCUGGUUGACGGGUCAGCAUCAAUUUUGACCACUGGAUAAAGUCUUUGGGAAUGUGGCAUCUUCGGAUGUGUUAUAGCCCAUUGUCGCAUACGGUGGUUGGGAUUGAGGAACUCAGCACGCCGCAAGGCCGGGUUUCGACCACGUUCGUGCUUAGGAUGCUGGCAUAAUGGCUUUAAUCGACCCGUCUUGAAACACGGACCAAGGAGUCUAACAUGCCUGCGAGUGUUUGGGUGGAAAAACCCAUGCACGCAAUGAAAGUGAAAGUUGAGAUCCUCUUCAAAGGGGGAGCAUUGACGCCCGGACCAGACCUUUUGUGACGGAUCCGCGGUAGAGCAUGCAUGUUGGGACCCGAAAGAUGGUGAACUAUGCCUGAAUAGGGUGAAGCCAGAGGAAACUCUGGUGGAGGCUCGUAGCGAUUCUGACGUGCAAAUCGAUCGUCAAAUUUGGGUAUAGGGGCGAAAGACUAAUCGAACCAUCUAGUAGCUGGUUCCUGCC